AGCCGUCAGAGAAACAGCUGAACCUGGACAGAACAUCUCUCUGCCAUGUAGACUUCCUGGUAACAAACCUGCUGCUGCUGUGGACUGGAUCAGAACCGAUCUGGGCUCAGGAUAUGUUCUUCUGUACCGAGACGGUCGGAUUGAUCCAGAAAACCAGAACCCAUCGUAUCAGAACCGGGUGGAUCUGAUGGACCGACAGGUGAAGGAUGGAGACGUGUCUCUGGUUCUGAAGAACCUGACCACUAACGAUACGGGACUAUAUCAGUGCCGAGUCCAGAAGGAAGGAAGCCUUGAUGCUGAACUGAUCAGAACCAUCAACCUGCAGGUUCUUCCUCCAGGGGACAAAGAUGGAGGAACCAAUGAUGGAUCCAUCGGACUGAUUGUUGGUCUGAUCUUAUUAGCUUUUGCUGUUGCUGGUGUUUCAUUUCUGAUCUAUAAAAAACAAUCAGCUUGUUUCAGGAAGAAAACCUCAAAUCCUCUAGUUGAUCUGUAGAUUUGCUGUAAAUGCCUUUAAUCUGAGGACAUGAUCAGAUUAUUGUUUCUGCUGGAUUUCUAAACCAAAUCAGGGCAGCAACAUCAGGAUGCUGCCAUUUCAUUCUUGCUGCCUGACAGAAAAUAUAUUUUUUUUCUGUGAAAUAUGUCAACUUUUAAAAGUUAUUAUUCAAUCUGAAAUGUGUUGCCUCUCUGUCUCCCUUUUAACUCCUCUGCUAAUAAAAACUACAUUUGACUAAAU